CCCAAUCCCACCAUAGAUGCUGGCCCUGGCGGCUGCGGACCUCUGAGCUCCGGGUCUGGGGUCUAGGUGCGGCCUCGAGUGCAGCGGCCAUAUGUACCAGGACCGAGAGCCAGCCCCGGACCCGGGCCCAGCUCCGCGGCAGGGACAAGUGAGCAGGCGGGCGCGGUUGGGGGCGCGGGGCUCUGGGGUCCCUGCCCCUUGGCCAGACCUGCCGGCGCAGCCAGCUAUCCGCGGCCUCAGGGCCCGAGGGUCGGUGAAGCGGAGCGGCUAGGGGGCCCCAGGCUCUGCGUGGACGUGGGGCCAGGGCCGCUGGGACAACCCUGAGCAGUGCCCUGGUGUCAGGCUGAGAGCUGAGCCCCAGGCCUCUGGGCACCAAGAUCCUGUGUAGCUGCCUGGCCCUUCAGGUGAGCUGGGCCCACCCUGCACCCAGCCCUGCCAGUCCUUCCCUGGACUCCCAGUCAGUAUGCAAGUGAGGGAGGGAGGAAAUCCACUGCUUUCCAGAGGCGGAGCAAUCCUGGAAGCUUACAUUUCAAAGAUUUAACUUCUGACAGAGCCUCCGUGCCUCCGAGCUGCCCGCUGGUGUCACUGUGGUCGUGGAGGUGCGGCGGGGAUGGUGCUGGCAGUGAGUCCGGGAUGCUGAGCCAGAGCAGAGACCACGCUCGAGUGACAGUGGGGCAGCCUUCAAAGCUGCCCUUCAGGUGAAGGCUCCCGCAGGACCCCACCGGGACCUAAGACCUGCGGACAUGGCAAGUGUGGCCGGUGCCACUGGCUCAGCUCCUUCCCCCAGGACUGCUGUGGCCUUGAAAGUCCUGCUUGAGACACAAAGGGCAGCUCCUGCUUACUUCCGCUGAGAUGGAUCCAGCAAGGCUGUGUCUCUCCAACCAGAUGGACUCAUUUCUAGUCAUCGAAGCAGAUGACCUGGUCUAACAGCCCGUGGGGCGCAGGGCACUGUGCGGCCAGGGUGCCUGCUCAGCACCCUUUGCCACUGCCACGCCGAGAGUGGCACCUUCUGGAAUCGUGGCCAGGGGACAUCCUGCUGGAUGCCAAGGGCAACAUGAGAGCCAGUAACUCCAGGCUGGGUACCAGGUUCCCUGGGGGCAGAAGCUGGCCCUGUUCCCCAGCAUUAUCCUCAGGCAAGGAGGGUGAUGACCCGAGGCAGGUGUCUGGGGCCUGGGGUGUCCUAUGCUCCCUGCUGUUCACUUAGAUGCUGGAGCCUCAGGUGAGGAGUGUCCUGGAGGGACAGCCAACCCCCUGUUCCCUCUCCUCGGAUGCACAAAGCCCCAUCUGCCAGCUUCUCACUCCGAACCCCAGGCCCAGGCCUAUACUGGACACACCCCUGGGGCCCCUGCCCCAUUCCUUCCCCUCUGGAGUUGUCCCCAGUUGCUGGAACCUCGGACCUUGAAGUUCACAUCUCACAUGGGCUGUGCCCCUCAGGUGAUGGAUGAGACUGAUGACUUCCUGGCCCCGAGGCUCAUGCUAGAAUGCUAACCACUUUGGGGUACAGGCAGCGCCCUCCGCGUGAAGCCCGCCACCCCAGGGGUCUGCCCUCUCGGCUGGCCUCCCGAGAAGGGGCCAGUGAGCCUACCCUGUGUCCAGGCCCUUCAGGCCCACCCUUCACCUCUGUGGCCUACAGAUGAGGACCCUGAUCCCUGCAGGGCCACAGCCUCUGCUGGCUAUAUGAACUGUGAGAAGCACCUGGGCUGCCGUAGGUGCCCACAUUUGGACCUUUUGCUGCUCCUGCCGGUCAACCAGCCGGCAGCAGACACACACACACUGUGCAUAGAACCAAGGGACUGGACAGCAGAGAUGUGGACAGGAGUGCAAAGCAGAAGACCCUGAACUCCAUGGAUUUUGCAGAAUGAGGAUCGGGCAGGUAUGGACUCCAGCGGCUGCAGAGGGAGCAUGGCAGGAUGUCCAGGCUGCAGUGCAUCUGGCCAGCUGUGAGGAGACCACCUGGGCUGCCUAGGACCAGGGGUGGCUCCCCAGCCCUCCUUCCCUGUUUCUGGGAUAUCGGAGUUGGUUUUCAGUAAACUAGUUUCUUGUAAUAAAACUGGACCCACCUGUGAUGGUCCUGCAAGCUC